GAUAUACAACAGGGACGUGCCUCCUGUUUGAGGAAAGACUAUGAAGCAAUCCCAACACCAAGCAGCCAAGCGCUCUGUUUAGCAUUCCUUGGUGCCUACAUUGGUUCUUGCAACCAUUCAUCUCUUCAGGGAGCCAGUCGGAAAAUAGCUUUCGCAAGUCUACUGUGUAAGAGACAUUGCGUAAGAGAAACUCUGCGAACAGAGGACUGGAUGUCGUGCAGGAGAAACAAAACACAAAGAUUGUGAGAGGACUGUGUGAGAUGGAUUGUCAGGGGCAUGUUCUUGUAAGCCGUGAUGUGCCAACGACACGUGGCCUCUUCAUUUGCUGGCGAGCAGCUCCAGUGCCUGAUCUGAAUGAUGGAAGGGCUGGUCACGACUAAUUCUGACCACAGCCCAGAAGACCCUGUUAUGAGGAGGAAAACCACACAAUUUGAUGGAAACCCAGCCAGGACCCCCUCACCCUCCUUGGCCAGCAGUGGGGAGGAGGGGCGGGGGGUCUGAUUCUCCCCCUCCAGCUUUGCUGGUCACCUGGCAUCAUGGGGACUGGUUGUGCCAGGAGUCCUGAUGGCUGAGCAAGAAGCCAUGGGCCUGAGUCACAGCAGGAAGGAUUGGAGUGAGAUUCAAGAGGGACAUUUUAAGAGACAGAGUGGGGAAGCCUCUGCUACGGUCAGUCACAGAGGCUGCGGGGUAUCGGGGACCUGGCUGGUCGUGGCGCCAGUGCAGGGUCACCUGCCUGCUUCUCUGAGUGCCCAGCUGUGCCUCAUUCACCUCUGUAGGCUCGGUGCCAAGGGCAGACCCAGCUCGGGGCUAGUCCACAGAGCCGCUAAACCUCUACCCUUCUGGUUCUGGACGCUCCCAACCCCUUGCCACAGGCCUCUCUUCAAGCCCUCACGUCAGAAACCAAGCCCUUACCUUUCGCUCCGGGCUGUCCCUUCUGGCCAGCUGGUCCGGGUUCACCCCUGAGGCCUACCAGGCCCGGGCUCCCCUUCUCUCCCUUCGCGCCCACGAGGCCUGGAGAGGAGCGAGACCCCCUUGGUCAGACGCUCUGCUUUCCAAGGCAGCCAAGGGCCUUGGCGUUUGAUGAACGAGUUGUCCCUGACUACCAGGUUCCCCCCCACCCCCCGACCUCCCCCAUGUCUGCGGGCUGUCUGGCUGCUCAGCCUGGGUUGGGGGCGGGGUGCUGCCCUGAUGCCCCGCCUCCCAGGGUGGGAACACGCAGGUGAACAGGGCCAACAGAAUUCCAGAGGUGGCCGGUCCUCCUCGGACGACGUCGCGUCUCCCAUUCUGGGAGAAUUUGCUAGGAAGUUUCUAGGCCUUAAUUUCUCCUUCAGUAAGUUAGAAUAGGAAUAGCUGGCUCUGGAGGAAGAAAGACUGCUCAGGAAAUACGUCCCAGGAGUCUUGCUUGCUUGGCGCUCAUCAGGGUAGGGCGGGCAAAGAAGACUAGAAAUUCUGUGUCAAGCGCGCAGGAGCCAACCACAGGCAAGGGCAGGGCCGAGGAGGACGGUAGAGUCCAUGGGGAAGAGUAGCGGGAGGAGCAGGCUGAGAGGGUUGGUGGCCUUGGGGGGGGGGGUCAAAGGGAAGAGGGAGAUGGACCAGAGCCACCAACCUGGGACCCAGAGAGGGUCACCCUGCUCCAUUGCGGCUGCACUGCCUAAAGACACCACCAGGGGGCAGCUUUCCUGAACUUCUUUACCCGCUCAGCCCGCUUCCCUGUCUACUCCGCUCCCCAGGUUUCACCGGAGGAACCUGGAUGCUCAGCCACAGCCUGGCGUUGGGCUGGGCCACUCUAGGGGAAGGUCACUACGGUUAAAAAGACCACUCUUGGAGCUCCAGACCUUCCAGUCAUCGUGGUGAGAAAUUAAAAUAAAGCCGGCCCUUUACCUGGAA